rnacentral:rRNA from 1 species
UACGAAGGGGGCUAGCGUUGCUCGGAAUUGCUGGGCGUAAAGCGCACGUAGGCGGCUUUCUAAGUCGGGGGUGAAAUCCUGGAGCUCAACUCCAGAACUGCCUUCGAUACUGGAGAGCUCGAGUCCGGGAGAGGUGAGUGGAACUGCGAGUGUAGAGGUGAAAUUCGUAGAUAUUCGCAAGAGCACCAGUGGCGAAGGCGGCUCACUGGCCCGGUACUGACGCUGAGGUGCGAAGGCGUGGGGAGCAAACAGG